rnacentral:lncRNA from 1 species
AUGGCCCAGUCUGUCCUGUGGGGUUGCUCUCCCAAUGUCCAGCAUGCGGCCACCUCCCAGAGCCCUGAUUUGGAGGGCUUUUCCAGGGCUGGCUGCAACCUCAGCCCACAGUCCCCACACUGGGACAUGUCAGCAGAGCCUGAGCACUUGAAGGAGUCCUCCAUGUAUCCUACUCCAAAACCCUGCUCUUCCCACCUUCUCCUUUUAUUCCUUCUCUUUCUGCUCCCCCGAAUGAUAAGGCCCCACAUUGAGGCCAUGUCUUGCAUUCUGCACUCCCUACCUUUCUUCCCCCAGCACCUCGCCUGCCUUCUCAGGGACCCAGUGGUGAAGUGCCCUUGGUGGAAUCUUGGGAUUCUCGAAGGAGAAGAUGCCCACCAGAGUGCAGCAUUCCUGAGGUCCUCGGUGGCAGGAUGGCUUCCAAAGAUCCCAGCCGCUGGGGAGGCUGGGUCUCGCCCCGGCUCCUGCCAUCAGCCAUCUCUGUGUGGCACUAAAGAUGUGCGCAGGAGCCAGGCCUCGGCGGCGAGCUUGGCAGGCACUCGGCGUUGCCUGGGAGACCAC